rnacentral:rRNA from 1 species
UACGUAGGCAGCGAGCGUUGUUCGGAAUUACUGGGCGUAAAGAGUGUGUAGGCGGUGCUCUAAGUUCGGUGUGAAAUCUCCUGGCUCAACUGGGAGGGUGCGCCGGAAACUGGAGUGCUUGAGCGUGGGAGAGGAAAGCGGAAUUCCUGGUGUGAGCGGUGAAAUUCGUAGAUAUCGGGAGGAACACCGGUGGCGAAGGCGGCGACCUGGUUCGAUACUGACACUGAGGUGCGAAAGCGUGGGGAGCAAACAGG